AGCAGCCGCGGUAAUACGGAGGGGGCUAGCGUUGUUCGGAAUUACUGGGCGUAAAGGGCGCGUAGGCGGAUUGUUAAGCAAGAUGUGAAAUCCCCGGGCUUAACCUGGGAAUGGCAUUUUGAACUGGCAGUCUAGAGUGUGUCAGAGGGGGGUGGAAUUCCACGUGUAGCAGUGAAAUGCGUAGAGAUGUGGAGGAACACCGAUGGCGAAGGCAGCCCCCUGGGAUAACACUGACGCUCAUGUACGAAAGCGUGGGUAGCAA
rnacentral:rRNA from 1 species